rnacentral:tRNA from 1 species
GGUGGGUUGGCUCAGUGGUUAGAGCGUAGGUCUCGUUAACGAAAGGUUGCGAGUUCGAAUCCCGAUAGAGGCUG